rnacentral:tRNA from 1 species
GCGGAAGUAGUUAAGUGGUAGAAUGCAACCUUGCCAAGGUUGUGACCCGGGUCCGAUUCCCGGUUUCCGCA